CCUUUAUACCGUUGAGUGACAAGUCUGUGCGUUAAUAUGCAUAGCCAAGCUUUAAAAGAUAUAGGUUUAUGAACAAAAGGUGGCACCCUGUUUGCAUAAUAUACAAGCGUAUUAACAGCGGAGACGUCGCUGGCUCCAGACUAACUUAGUGUACACACUGUAACCAGGAGCGGUGCUUUUACAACAGGUUUGGAGCCUUUUGACGGAAAUGAGGUUGGUAUAAAGAGAGGUUGGAUAGUCUGCUGUGACAUCACAUUCUGCUACUCUACAGCAAACAGCUUGAACAGAACCAUGAAGUUCCUGGUGUUGUCCCUGGCUCUUGCCCUUGUUUUAACAACCGGUAGCGCUCUGAACUGCCACCGCUGUGUGUCGCGGCGGGCGGGGGAGUCAUGUGACCUGGUGGUGGAGUCCUGUAGGCCGGAGAAGGACGCCUGUGCGGCCGCCAAGUUCCUGAGAGCCCCACAUGGCCAGUACCAGAAAUGCAUGGCUAUGAGCGACUGUGAGAUGCUUAAGAUGAACUCCUACAUCGACAUGAAGUGUUGUGCCGACCACAUGUGCAACACGUUCUAGAAUGUGAAUACUGUACGAAGCCCACCGUGCAUUCUGCAUUGAAUUGUCCCUCGGAGCGACCACACCCGGUGUGUGUAGCUGUUCUCUGGGGUACAGUAGACCUCCCCUCUUUUGUGUUUGUGUGAAGGUUGCUUUACCCUUUAAUAAAUGCAAAAAAAAAAGAAA